ACGUGUAUAACUACGCCAUUUAGCAAAUCAGAGUUUCCUAGUUCUGACUAGUUUGUGAACGCGGUAUCACAGCACAUAACGGAACUGGCUUGAGACAGCAACGAAAGUCUUGCUUCUGACGUUCUGUUUCCAGACGGACAUAUUUACUCAACCGAGCAAACGUGUGUUUAUAUUUUCCAUGCUGCUUGAUUUGUUAUGAAUCCGCGAAUAGUAUGUACUAGUAAACCGCUACUGACGAACCUUUACAGAAUAUAGAUAAUGCUCCCCGAUAUGCAAUUGCGUUAAUUUGAGUGGGAUUUUUCAGCAAGUAACGUUUAAUCCUGUCAGACAAGCUCGCUAGCUAACGUUAGCUCACUAUUGGGCUAGCAAGCUACGUUAGUUACAAUGAAGAUCAAACGACAAAAGCAAGACAAAAAAAAACAUUCGUUUCUACAAAAACAACUUCAGUUUUAGAGAGCCCUUUCAAAUUCUGAUCGACGGGACUGCAGCGGUAUCAGGUUAGGAACUGCAAGCAUUUCAAGAACCCCGUGUCUGCUGUCAAUGCUGGAAGGGACUAAUCCUCACCACUACUUUGUUGUCACACAGAUAUGUGACCAAGAGGUGACAUCAGGCCUGAAGAAGAUCCCAGGCGUGCCACUCCUGUAUAUCAUCCUCAACAUCAUAGUGUUGGACAAGCCCAGCCUAUGCUCUGUGAACCAUGUGCAGGCUGUGGCUCAGAGAGAUUGUCACCCCAGCCCAGCAGCAGAGCAUCAACAACCUGCCAGGGCAAGAAGCGUAAGAGGAAAAUCUCCAACCCCAACCCGCUCAGCUGCCUGAAGAAGAAAAAACAGCCACAGACACAGCUGCUUAAGACUGAGGGCAAAAGGAAGAAGAGUCGGCAAAGGAAAGUCGCAAACCAGAGGGAGGGUCCAUCCCUAAAACCAACCACAAACCCCCUAGUGUUUAAAGGUAUCCCAAUUCAAUGUCCGGAGAACAUAUUUUGAAGAAGCACACAGCCAUGAUGUCAGCAUGCUUCUAAAAAUGUAUCCUUAAACAGUUCAAUCUUGUUUGUUGAACAUCAGAAGGUAUUGAUCUAAGUCAUUAUAGUAAGUCCAUAGCAAUUACACCCAAUUCACUGGCUCAAUGAACCAGCUAUGAAAAGGAUUCAUUGACAUGAACUGUUGAAACAGUAUUCAUUUUAUUAGAAAAGUAACAAGUUGCUGGGCCUCAGGACUACAGGCAUGGCAUCAUAACACUUCAGCAACAGUAUCUACAAGGUGUCAUUUUGGGUUUUAUACAAAAAGGAGAAUGCAAGUUUACCGGCGCAGAGUUAAAGGGAUGAGCUAAAACAUUACAUGAUAUACAAUUUCAGAAGUUUGUGGGUAUCAAAACAAUGCAUUUGUAGCUAUAAGAUGAGCAAUAUCGUAUUCAAGCUAUCGAAGAAUGACUGUCACAACACCUAAGCACAUAAGUGAAUUAAGACUUCCCAGUAAUUAUCAUUGCAUCAAAACUAUCUUUUAGAUUAUUAAUACCAAAUAAGUUUCUCUAUUUGCCAGAGAUUACUUGACAUUGAGCUGCAUCAAAGAGUUGAUGAAUGAAAUGUCAUUUCUGGACACCCACAAUUGAAAUUUAGAUUUUGUUAAAUAGCUUAAAAUAUCUAAUGCGAAAAAAGUAUUAUUCUGGCCAAACCAUUAACAUAGAUAAUUGAUAGUAUUUUCAUUGACACAGUAUGUGACUUAAAAGGGAAUUAUUCAAGUAAUACCAUAAAAUGCAAUUCAGGAGGAAUUACUUGGAAUAAAAAAUAUUUGAAACUG